rnacentral:tRNA from 1 species
GAGGGUAUAGCUCAGUGGUAGAGUGCAUGCUUAGCAAGCAUAAGGUCCUGGGUUCAAUCCCCAGUACUUCCA